AAACAUAUAUUUUUUUUUAUUUGUUUCUCUUAUUUUUCUAAAAUUAGAUCUCAUCAAAGAAAUACGUAACACUCAUUUGAAUUUUACAAAUCUGUAUCUAUAUUGUUUAGUAUAUGUAUCUAAAAAAAGGCAAAAUAAAUGCAUUAAAAACUAAUUAUAUAUAUAGUAAUCCAAGAAUACAAUGAAAACAAGAAACAAAAUAAGCAGCUAUGAUUAGCUUUGGCAUCUAGGAAUAAUUAGCUAUAGGCCUAUGUGUUCUAGGACAUUCGAAAUUAAUUUCACCUAGACUUUUAGAGAGUCUUAAAGUUAUUUUUCUAAUUGAUUAAUUUUGUGUGUGUAAUGACACAUAUAAAAGUUUUGAACAUCUUUUAAAGUCAAAAAUAGCUUUGAAUCAUCCCUAUAUCAAAUUGUUAGUUACAGUUUUUGAAUGUUUUAG